GUUAGAAUCCAACAAUAAUUAUAGUCUACUUCCAAUUGAACUUUUUUCGAAGUUUACAAGGUUCUUCCAAGUAUACAGCUGAAUUAUGCGAUGACCGGGAUGUGCCUCAGGGGAAGCCGGAGUACCUGGAGGAAACCCCACCUGUCUUGUAUGGUGAUAAUCAACCUAACUCAUAUGUUGUCGGGCACGGAGUAUGAAUCCAGGGACUUCUGUGACGGAUUCAGACUUCCUUUUCCUAGGGAGGAGUGGUGGACGCUCAAGACAACCUGUGCGCCUGUCAUUCAAGCAUACAAAAUACAAUUGUUAUAAUUUCGCUGAUUCUGUCAAUCAUAUUCAUUCAGCCCGCAAUGGCGAA